rnacentral:rRNA from 1 species
AGAACGAGCGCUGGCGGCAUGCCUAAUACAUGCAAGUCGAACGAACACUUCGGUGUUAGUGGCGCACGGGUGCGUAACGCGUGGGAAUCUGCCCUUGGGUUCGGAAUAACAGUUGGAAACGACUGCUAAUACCGGAUGAUAUCGAAAGAUCAAAGAUUUAUCGCCCAGGGAUGAGCCCGCGUAGGAUUAGCUAGUUGGUGAGGUAAAGGCUCACCAAGGCGACGAUCCUUAGCUGGUCUGAGAGGAUGAUCAGCCACACUGGGACUGAGACACGGCCCAGACUCCUACGGGAGGCAGCAGUAGGGAAUAUUGGACAAUGGGCGCAAGCCUGAUCCAGCAAUGCCGCGUGAGUGAUGAAGGCCUUAGGGUUGUAAAGCUCUUUUACCCGAGAUGAUAAUGACAGUAUCGGAGAAUAAGCCCCGGACUAACUCCGUGCCAGCAAGCCGC